rnacentral:lncRNA from 1 species
AUGGCCUGGGCUCUGCUCCUCCUCACCCUCCUCACUCAGGGCACAGUCUGCCCUGACUCAGCCUCACUCAGUACCCGGGUCUCCUGGACAGUCGGUCACCAUCUCCUGCACUGGAACCAGCAGUGACGUUGGGCAUUAUAACUAUGUCUCCUGGUGCCAGCAGCACCCAGGCACAUGAUUUAUGAAGUCAGUUAUAGGCUCUCUGGAGUCUCUGAUCACUUCUCUGGCUCCCAGCUCUGGCAACAUGGCCUCCAUGACCAUCUCUGGGCUCCAGGCUGAGGACGAGGCUGAUUAUUACUGCAGU